rnacentral:lncRNA from 1 species
GCCCUUUUUGGAAUGGAGACAGCAGAGAGCAGCUCGUCUGAGUUCAAGAGGGAAAGAUAUGGUGGCCAAGCAUGAGGUGCUCCACAAAGGCCGUGGGGGAUUUGAAGCACGAGAGAGAUGAAUUACAGAAGAAUGAUUGCAAUAUAGAGAGAUACAUCAGUUUGAAAUUCAGAAGCCUGAGACCAGAUGGACAUAAACAGAAUCCCAGAGUGUGACACUCAGGCUAGUUCAGUGGUAACUUUGACUUGGGAAGCCACUUCCCAACUUGAACAUGGGCUGGUAUCCCUAGAAGGGCUUGGUUGCCAAAACCUAGACCCCUUCACUUAGAGUGAUAAUAAUUCAGUCUGGGCCUCGCCCAGGAGCUAACAACUGAAUUGGACUGAGACCAAGAGUUGGCACUGCCAACAUGUUCCCAGGUGAUGCUGAUGAUACUGGUGUGGGUACCAUAUCCUGAGAUCUGCUGACUUAAAUACUCACUCUGAUCCUUUACAAGUAAGGAAAGCAGAAUGCAGAAAUGGGAGUGUUGCCUAAGGCAGCAGUGAGAAAAAUGGAAGCCCUGUGAUUGAAUUUAAAGCCAAUAUUCUUUCCAUUCAAACUGUGACUCUAUUAUUACUCCUAACAAAAGACUGAGUGCACCCACGCUAAUUCAUUUACUUGAGAACAAAGAGACGCCAACCCCUCCACCCACCAAACUUUGACUUCUUGCUUGGAGGCUAUUGACAUUGAGGAGUCAUGUGACUUUUCUUGCUUCAGCUUCAGCAAAAUGAUGAUGAUGAUGGUUCUAAAACUUGGUUGAAUUCAAUGCUUCCUUAAUAUUCUCAAUAUCCAAACCUUUCUUUUUCUUGAUGCUGUGGACUUGUGUGUGAUGGUGGUGGUGGUGGUGGUGAUGAUGGUGAUGGUGAUAGUGGUGAUGUUGAUGAUGAUAUAAACCAAUCCUACCUCACAGAUUGGUUAUAAGGAUUUCCAUAUAAGUACUAUAAAUAUAUGGGUAUAUGCCAUAUACGUGUAAAGUUUUUAAAUUGUACUUUAUAGCAUGCUAUUAUUAUUAAAUAUUAUUUCAAACUGUUUCAUUGACA